rnacentral:lncRNA from 1 species
UUGCAUGCCCUUAAUCCAAUUUCCUUCAGUGGAAACAUAUAACUAUGAUAUGCUGUCAAAACAAGGAAAUGAGAAGUGAACAUUAGCACAAUUCACACAUUAUUCAGAUUUCAUUGGUUUUUGUAUAUACUGUGUGUGUGUGUGUGUGUGUGUGUGUGUAGGUCUAUGCAAUUCUACCAUAUGUACUCACCAUCACAAUUAAGAUAUAAAGCUGGUUCAUCAUAACAAUCCUCAUGCUACCCCUUAUAGUCACAGCUGUCUCCAGCCUCUCACCCCACCCCAUUUGUAACUUCCGGACCAGUGAUCUGUUCUCGAUCUCUAUUAUUCUGUCAUUUGAGAAUGUUACAUAAACGGAGUCAUACACUUUAUAGACUUUUGGGAUUUGCAUUUUUCUUCUGCAUAGUUCUCUUGAGAUCUAUCCAAAUUGUGUAUAUCUAUAGUUUGUUUCUUUUUAUCUUUGAGUAGUAUCGGAUAGUACACGUGCAGUACGGUUUGUUUAUUCAUUCAUUGAAGGACUUUUGAGUUGUUUCCACUACUAUGAAUAUUUACAUGUUUUUGUGUGGAUACAAGUUUUCACUUGUCUGGAUUAAUGUCCAGAAGUACAAUUGGGAAGAAAGGAAGGAAGAAACAAACAAACCCAAGAAAUUGUUUUCUAGAGAGGUUGCUAUUUUACAUGCCCAGACUAACUUUUUAUGAAGCAUAGAAGUAUUAUUAAAAAUAAGUAGCAAAUCUUUCAGAGGCAUGCAAUAAUUUUUUUUUCUUUUAAAAUAUGAUAUGAGAGCUGUAGAUGUGGCUUAGUGGUAGAGGGCUUGCAUGGCAUUCAUGAGGUCCUGGGUUUGACCCUCAGCGCUAAAAAAUAAAAACCAAAAAGAAUUGGGCAGGAAAAAUGUAAUUAACCAUUAAUUAUAUGUCAAAGAAGGCUCUGUUUUACAUGUUGCUUUUAUUUAUUUAUUUAUUUUUAAUAUUUACUUUUUAGUUUUUUAGGUGGACACAAUAUCUUUAUUUUAUUUUUAUGUGGUGCUGAGGAUCGAAUCCAGUGCCUCACACAUGCCAGGCGAGCAUGCUUCCACAUCCC